rnacentral:rRNA from 1 species
UACAGAGGGGGCGAGCGUUGUUCGGAAUUACUGGGCGUAAAGGGCGCGUAGGCGGCCAACUAAGUCAGACGUGAAAUCCCUCGGCUCAACCGGGGAACUGCGUCUGAUACUGGAUGGCUUGAAUUCGGGAGAGGGAUGCGGAAUUCCAGGUGUAGCGGUGAAAUGCGUAGAUAGUCGGGAGGAACGACCGGUGGCGAAGGCGGCCCCCUGGAUUGGAUCAGCUGACGCUGAGACGCGAAAGCGUGGGGAGCAAAGCAGG